GCCAUACCUGCUCAAACAAUGUUCACACUCAAUUAUUUAGGUGAUGGGAUCAAACCCCCCUGCUGCUGUGUGAAGAAUGGUGGAAAUAUGGACUGAUUUUGAUACUGAUUUCAACCAAGAUACUGAAUUGGCCUGACAUCUGGACCCUUCUCCUAUUUUCAACCUUCAGCGACCAACAAGAAAAUGAAGAGCACUGGAGCAAACCUGAAGCACCCUUCUCUGUUGCUCUCUGAGAAACCUGUUAGGAUACAUUUGUGAUACGGGGCUGUGUGAAGGUGGUUAGCUGAGAUAGGAUGCAGCCUAAUGUGGCAGUCACAGUGAAGCAGGACGAGGAUAGUUAAGAGUCCUGAGUUCUGAUCUUGCCUGUCUAUUUUGAGACAAAUCAUGCCAGCUCCAAAUCCCUACCAAGAUCUCUGCUCUUAGUAUUUUUGGGAGUAAAUUCUGGUUAAUAAAGCAGCAUUUUUUUUUCAGAGAAGCUAAGAAAAAUAGAUGGAGAUAACAGUGGUAAUCAACCGUGUUGCACAGUGGAAUUGGAACAGAGCUUCAAGAAAUAAUGUCUGGGUCCCAUCCUGACAACUUCUGAUUUAGUUGACUUAGGAUGUAGGCUGGAGACUGAGCUGAUUCUCUCUGUGCCCAACAUUAAGAAGUAUAACUGAAAAAAUGUUUCCUGUGAAUGCUGCUUCUGUAUAGAAUAAUGAAAGCAUGAAGGUAGAGAUCUGAGAAGGGAUUUUUAGGGGACUGAUGAGUAACUGUCCUGAUAUCUGAGACGUUUUCCCUUAGAAGUCAUCAAUUCCUUACCUUUUCAAUGAAAUAUACCCGUCCCCAAC
rnacentral:lncRNA from 1 species